GACGAACGCUGGCGGCGUGCCUAACACAUGCAAGUCGAGCGAAGUGAGUACUACGGUACGAACUUAGCGGCGGACGGGUGAGUAACGCGUGGACAAUCUACCCUGUAGACUGGGAUAACACCUCGAAAGGGGUGCUAAUACCGGAUAAUGUCGAGAAGCGGCAUCGCUUUUCGAAGAAAGGAGAGAAUCCGCUAUAGGAGGAGUCCGCGUCCCAUUAGCUAGUUGGUGAGGGUAACGGCCCACCAAGGCGACGAUGGGUAGCCGGCCUGAGAGGGUGAACGGCCACACGGGGACUGAGACACGGUCCAGACUCCUACGGGAGGCAGCAGUGGGGAAUAUUGUGCAAUGGGGGAAACCCUGACACAGCAACGCCGCGUGAGCGAAGAAGGCCUUCGGGUUGUAAAGCUCAAUAGUAUGGGAAGAUAAUGACGGUACCAUACGAAAGCCCCGGCUAACUACGUGCCAGCCGCCGCAGUAAAAC
rnacentral:rRNA from 1 species